rnacentral:rRNA from 1 species
GGGCACUUUAAGGAUACUGCCAGUGACAAACUGGAGGAAGGUGGGGAUGACGUCAAGUCAUCAUGGCCCUUACGACCAGGGCUACACACGUGCUACAAUGGUCGGUACAAAGGGUAGCUACACCGCGAGCUGAUGCUAAUCUCAAAAAGCCGAUCGUAGUCCGGAUCGCAGUCUGCAACUCGACUGCGUGAAGUCGGAAUCGCUAGUAAUCGUGGAUCAGAAUGCCACGGUGAAUACGUUCCCGGGCCUUGUACACACCGCCCGUCAACACCAUGGGAGUUUGUUGCACCAGAAGUAGGUAGUCUAAC